GUAAAAGUCUUCUCUGUCAUAUCCCAAAGAUUCUUAAUGGGGUUCAGGUCUUGACUCUGUGUUGGCCAAUCCAUGUAUGAAAAUGAUAUCUCAUACUCUCUUACACAUUUUGAGCCU